GGGGGGCUCUCUCCGUCCCAUCUGACACCUCUGCCACCCUUUGCCCCCUCAGCAAUGAAAGGCCAUGACAUGUAGGCAUGACACACAGAAUGUCAUGUGUCUGAGCAGAAGGGACUUAAACGUGUGCCCUGCAGCUCCAUUGUCCCUUAUCACUUGUCAUUCAUGAGCUGAGAGUAUUGUGGUAGCCAAAGAGUGGCCCCCAGAGACGGCCACAUCUUUAUCCCCAGAAUCUGCGGGUGUAGUAUCUUAUGGGGCUAAGGGGCCUUGCAGCCAGAAAAAACUACCCAAUAUUCUGUGAUAAUCUAUGUGGGAAAAGAAUCUGAAAAAGAAUGGACGUGUGUACAUGUAUAACUGAGUCACUUUGUUGUACAGAAGAAAUGAUCCCAACCUUGUAAACCAAACAGAUGUCAAUAAAACAUUAGAAAAUGAAAAAAAAGAGAGAGAGAGAGAGAGAAAAGACAUGUGAUGAAGGAAACAGAGACCCAGAUUGACCUGAUGUGAGCAAAAUGCAACCAGCCAUUGCUGGCCUCGAAGGUGGAGGAAGGAGCCCAGCCAGAGUGAAGUGGCUUCUGGAAACUGGGAUAGUCAAGACAUGAUUCUUUUUUUUUUUUCUUUUCAUUUUUUCAUUUUUGAUUUUAAGGGAGAAUUGCAAUGAUUUUUAUUAUUUAUUUAUUUAUUUUGCUUUUAAGGGCCGCACCGGUGGCAUAUGGAGGUUGCCAGGCUAGGGGUCCAAUAGGAGGAUCCGAGCCGUGUCUGUGACCUACACCACAGCUUAUGGCAAUGCCAGAUCCUUAACCCACUGAGUGAGGCCAGGAAUCGAACCCGCAACCUCAUGGCUCCCAGUCGGAUUCGUUUCUGCUGCGCCAUGGCCGGAACUCCAAAGAGAUGAUUCUUGACUGGUUCCAGAAGGACCCAGCCCUGUGAGACCAUGGUGAGCCCAGGGAGACCCGCUUUAGAUUUGUGACCUCCAGAACUGUAAUGGAAUAAAUCGAUGUGGUUUUCAGUCACAGGAAGUGGAUCCCAGCUGCUGGGCUGGCCUUGCGUCCCUGGUCAGCCGGGCUCGGGGAGGGGUGGGCUGGUAGGGGUGGGAAACUGAGAAACUGGGAGGCUUCAUGCAGAAGCUCCACUCUCAGGCACAAAUAUACCCAACAACCAGGAUUUGAGAGAUGGGAUAUUUGAAACCCCUGCCUACAAAAAGGUGAUGAAAUUGGUGAUAAAAAUAGAAUAAAUUACAUCUAUUCAUAGAAAAAAUUCUCUUCUGCCUUUAAAGAUAGACCCUUUGGUGAAGAGUGGAGCCCUUGGUCGGAACUCUAUUUCCAACCCACUAUUUUUAUUUUCAUUUGAAUUUGGGGCUAAGACAGUUUACGGAUGAUAAUAUAGCCACCUGAGUUUUCCAGGAUGUUUAUAGAAUUUUCUCGUGUACCGUACCAUUAAAUGGGGGACGGUGUAUCAUUAUGCUUGAUUAUGAGCUUUGCUAAGAAGACACUUUUUUCCAAAAUGAAAGUCACAUAACCUAGGAGGAGCUAAGCAUAAACUCAGUGCCCUGAACUAGAAAAUGAACCUGUGGGUCCACCUUCCUGUCCCUGCCCUCAUCUUCUCUUUUUAUCCCAGGGGCACUGCCUCGCUAGUGGUGAGUGUUAUAAAGCCCAUUUCCUUUUUUGACUCUUGUUAACCCGAGAACAAGUACCGUCAGCCAUUCCUGAGGUUUGAGAUAAACAUUUAUGCUUUUUCUCAAUAGUCCCUGCAAUGUGGAUGGCCUGAAAGUGAUGUGGCAUUUCCACUGACGUGAUGCGAAUUCCUAGUGCUAAUGUAUAAAGCUAACGUAUAGUGUUUAAUGGUAAUACAUGAAGUGUAAUGUUAAUAUAGUGUUUAAUGCUAACAUACAGUGUUUAAUGCUAACAUACAGUGUUUAAUGCUAACAUACAGUGUUUAAUGCUAACAUACAGUGUUUAAUGUAAUAUAGUGUUUAAUGCUAACAUACAGUGUUUAAUGCUAACAUAUAGUAUUUGAUGCUAAUAUAGUGUUUAAUGCUAACAUGUAGCAUUUAAUGCUAAUAUAGUGUUUAAUGCUAAUAUGUAGUGUUAAAUGCUAGUAUAUAGUGUUUAAUGCUAACAUGUAGUGCUGGUCAGAUUUUUUUUGUUAUUAGCACACUUGUCUUUUAUGAGCAUGUUAAAAUACACAUACAUUGUUUUCAGUUCUUCAGACUUAUACCAAAA
rnacentral:lncRNA from 1 species